GACGGAGGAUGCAAGCGUUAUCCGGAAUUAUUGGGCGUAAAGCGUCCGCAGGUGGCAGUUCAAGUCUGCUGUCAAAGACCGGGGCUUAACUUCGGAAAGGCAGUGGAAACUGAACAGCUAGAGUAUGGUAGGGGCAGAGGGAAUUCCUGGUGUAGCGGUGAAAUGCGUAGAGAUCAGGAAGAACAUCGGUGGCGAAGGCGCUCUGCUGGACCAUAACUGACACUCAGGGACGAAAGCUAGGGGAGCGAAUGGG
rnacentral:rRNA from 1 species